rnacentral:lncRNA from 1 species
CUUUGGAAAUGAUUCCACAUGGUCUCCUAUUUGCUGGAAGUAAACUCUACUUUGUGUGACAACUUCUUCUGAUAGAAGUCUGAUUUUAACCCACCAGGAAGUGAGCCCACUUUGCUUCAGCAACAAAAUUUGGUGACCCAGAUGGGACCUCUGUCCCUCUGAGGUUCCAGUCCUCCAGCCACCCAGGUUCCUAACGGCUGGAGAAUGAGCAGCAGCAGCUCCUCAGGCUAACUCAUUCAUGCUACUAGGGGGCGGGGACUGGACCUCACAAGGCAGCCUCCCUUCUCUGUGCUUGUGCCACCAGCUUGACAUUGCUGCCCCGUCAGGAGACCUAGCAACCACACUGAGAACCUUGCUCAGAGGAUCUCCUGAUGGAGGGGUAUGAGUCCCUUCUAGACAAAGGAUUGCACAGCCCGGAGGAACGGUAGCCAUUCAUCUGUUGACUAGUCAUGUCUGACCUGAUAAGCUAGGGAAAAAUAUCUGCUCCUCCAUUGGUUCCUGUGAUGACAAUGCCCAUACCCAGCAGGAAACAGUUACGGAAGGUGGAGUUUCAGCCUGUGCCCCUCAAGAAUGAGGAGCAGGAUAAAAAUCUAGAGGAGGGAUUUUGUCAUCCGCGCAUUCCCUAAGCAGCUCAAAGGAAGUUUAAAGGUGCAUAACACUUCCUCGAGGUUCUCAGCGCUAUGUUGGGAAGAGAUAACCACUGUCAACCGGCCUGAACAAGACUGAGCCCCACUGCAAGGGCAGCAUUUGUGCAGACGGCCCAGAGAUGACCCAAAGAUGCCCUUCACUUCAUCUUAAUACUAAAAUCUUCAGCCCAGGAGGAGCCUAGGCCUUACCGGCAUAACAUGUGAUGUAUGUGAAAGCGUGUUUUCAGACUGCGCCUGUGCAAGCUAAUACUCGCCUCUACAUGUGAUGACAAAGCUUCCCUUUUAAAUAUUCAUUCCCCACGCAAAAGAAAAGACACCUGCUUCUCUUUGUUUGGGGAGCGACGACUUCAGAAAUGAUUCCACGUGGUCUCCUAUUUACUGGAAAUAAACUCUACUUUGUGUGACAACUACUUCUGGUGGAGAGUCUGAUUGUAACUCCCCAGGAAGCGAACC